rfam:Trichobilharzia regenti genome assembly, scaffold: TRE_scaffold0012400
GUACUGCUGAAGAGUCCCAAACUAGGACGAAACAGCCGUUCAAUAC